UCCUCCUACACAGGCGUGUCUUUUGCUCCCCAACUUUGAACAUGUAAGAAUUGGAGCCAAAGAAAUGGGGAAUUGGAGACAUGUAGAGAUGGCUUGUUCUCCACAGGCUCAAGAUCAACUGUCCCACAUAA
ensembl:snoRNA